UGGGGAAUAUUUCACAAUGGGCGCAAGCCUGAUGCAGCCAUGCCGCGUGUAUGAAGAAGGCCUUCGGGUUGUAAAGUACUUUCAGCGGGGAGGAAGGGAGUAAAGUUAAUACCUUUGCUCAUUGACGUUACCCGCAGAAGAAGCACCGGCUAACUCCGUGCCAGCAGCCGCGGUAAUACGGAGGGUGCAAGCGUUAAUCGGAAUUACUGGGCGUAAAGCGCACGCAGGCGGUUUGUUAAGUCAGAUGUGAAAUCCCCGGGCUCAACCUGGGGACUGCAUCUGAUACUGGCAAGCUUGAGUCUCGUAGAGGGGGGUAGAAUUCCAGGUGUAGCGGUGAAAUGCGUAGAGAUCUGGAGGAAUACCGGUGGCGAAGGCGGCACCCGGGACGAAGACUGACGCUCAGGUGCGAAAGCGUGGGGAGCAAACAGG
rnacentral:rRNA from 1 species